GAUGAACGCUGGCGGCGUGCCUAAUACAUGCAAGUCGAGCGAACGGACGAGAAGCUUGCUUCUCUGAUGUUAGCGGCGGACGGGUGAGUAACACGUGGAUAACCUACCUAUAAGACUGGGAUAACUUCGGGAAACCGGAGCUAAUACCGGAUAAUAUUUUGAACCGCAUGGUUCAAAAGUGAAAGACGGUCUUGCUGUCACUUAUAGAUGGAUCCGCGCUGCAUUAGCUAGUUGGUAAGGUAACGGCUUACCAAGGCAACGAUGCAUAGCCGACCUGAGAGGGUGGUCCGCCACACUGGAACUGAGACACGGCCCCGACUCCUACGGGAGGCAACAGUAGGGAAUCUUCCGCAAUGGGCGAAAGCCUGACGGAGCAACGCCGCGUGAGUGAUGAAGGUCUUCGGAUCGUAAAACUCUGUUAUUAGGGAAGAACAUAUGUGUAAGUAACUGUGCACAUCUUGACGGUACCUAAUCAGAAAGCCACGGCUAACUACGUG
rnacentral:rRNA from 1 species